GGCUCAGAAUCAACGCUGGCGGCGCGCUUAACACAUGCAAGUCGCACGAGAAAGCAGGGGUAACCUUGUGAGUAAAGUGGCGUACGGGUGAGUAACACGUGGAUGAUCUACCCUCAGGUGGGGAAUAACCCUGGGAAACCGGGGCUAAUACCGCAUACGCUCGGGAGAGGAAAGCCGAAAGGCGCCGGAGGAGGAGUCCGCGGCCGAUUAGCUAGUUGGUAGGGUAAAAGCCUACCAAGGCUGAGAUCGGUAGCCGGCCUGAGAGGGCACACGGCCACACUGGCACUGAAAUACGGGCCAGACUCCUACGGGAGGCAGCAGUGGGGAAUCUUGCACAAUGGGGGAAACCCUGAUGCAGCGACGCCGCGUGAGCGAUGAAGCCCUUCGGGGUGUAAAGCUCUUUCGGUGGGGAAGAAGAAAGACGGUACCCGCAGAAGCAGCUGCGGCUAACUACGUGCCAGCAGCCGCGGUAAUACGUAGGCAGCGAGCGUUGUUCGGAGUUACUGGGCGUAAAGGGUGUGUAGGCGGUCCUCCGUGUCUGGUGUGAAAUCUCCCGGCUUAACUGGGAGGGUGCGCCGGAAACUGGAAGGCUUGGAGUGCGGGAUGGGAGAGUGGAAUUCCUGGUGUAGCGGUGAAAUGCGUAGAUAUCAGGAGGAACACCGGUGGUGUAGACGGCUCUCUGGACCGUAACUGACGCUGAGACACGAAAGCGUGGGUAGCAAACAGGAUUAGAUACCCUGGUAGUCCACGCCCUAAACGAUGCACAUUUGGUGUAGGUCAUUCAUUUGAUCUGUGCCGGAGCUAACGCGUUAAAUGUGCCGCCUGGGGAGUA
rnacentral:rRNA from 1 species